GAUUUCUUGUGACUUUCACUGAUAUUUCUCUUUGCAGGGCCAGAUCCUAAAAACUCCUGAAUGCUAUCAGCCUGUAAAAACUGGCUGGGUUCAACCAGAGUGAAAAAGAAAAAAUAACAGACCCAGUCCAUUUUGCUCCCAGCAGUAACUCAGAGUUCCCAUUAGUCUGGAAGAGUGUAAUUCUGCACAUCUACAGGUCUACAGGUCUGGAUCUACAGUGAAAGGAUGUAGAGAUGAAGUAGCAGGAGUAAGCUGGUAAUAAAGUACAGGGAGAUGUUUUGUUUGCUUUUCAUAA
rnacentral:lncRNA from 1 species